UCACACUCACACAAAAGUUUAUUAGAAAGGUAAAUUGAUGAUGCAAUUUAAGGUUUAGUAUAGUUGAUUCCUACAUAUAACAAAUACAGAAAAAUAUCUUCACAAACAAGUUUGAUUAAUCCCUUUUUGGCCAUGAAGCCAUAGGUGGAUCCUUGUACAAUACUUGGUGAAAAACCUACAUGGGAGGUGACUUGUUUUACAAGUAAAGGCUCAUUCCGUAUAAAUCAUAUAUAUCUUUGCAUUUAAUAAUUUGAAAGCUUUGAAGUCGUAUAGAUAAAAGCAUAAUAUUUGUUUAUUGUCGAAGAAUAUUAUCUAAA
rnacentral:lncRNA from 1 species